ACUUCUUUUUUUUUUUUUUUUUUUUUUUUUUAUAAAAAUACCGAAGGGGUUGACUUCACAAGCUGUUGCAAUGUUGAAAAUAGUUGAAUUUCUUGCUAACAAUGAUGGCAUUUUCCUUUCCAAAAUGUAUCUUAAUCAAUUGUUACCAAGAUUUGAUCCUAUAAUUAUGCAUGUCAAUGUCUAGUGAUGGUAAAUCGGUCUGCACUCUUGUAUUCCUAAACAAAGUCGUUACCAAGGAGGAAAAAAAACAAGAUUCAUGGUGUUUUUGUUUCUUAUUUUUGAAAUUUACGAGUUGGGAUUUAAAAACCAUAUAGAGAUUGAUCUUGAAUAAAACCCAGAUUUUUGUCGAAACAGAAAGGUUUGGUUUCUCAAGAACAUUAAACAUUAAUUGAAGAAUAUUGGUAGCACAAUCUCACGAUCUUGAUCUUCCUUUGUGGAGCCACCAAUGCCAAGUGUUAAAAAUAAGCACGUCAUAACCCCUCCAUGCAUCCCCAUUUUGUAUGGAGUCAAGCUUCAGAAUUCUUCUGUUAUUCUCUUCCACCAAAUCCACCAGAAAUGCGUUACGAGAUAGCAUCAAAGAAACAUCAUAUUCCUGCCAUCAUUCACGUAAUGUGGAUUAAUUAAUUAAUCAAUGGAAGAGUCUGCUUUUCUUGCACUAAAUGAUCAAAGCUAAAAAGGCAUGCAUGAGAUCAAAAAUUAAUAGAUGAGCCUACAUAAAAUCAGAGAAACUCACCCUGAAAGUAAAAGUAGAGAGGUUGCCUUUCUUUUGAAGAUUGUAAUUUGAUUGGGGCAGAGCUGCGUGCAACAUGCAUGCAAGGGACUGCCAUUGAUUGAGGCUCAGUGAAUCCCCUACGAACAAUAUCUUCUUCCCUCUAAAUUUCCUCAAGAAAUGUGGAGCAUUAAAUCUGCAUUUAAAAAAAAAAACAUGAAGGUUACAUUCUUGGCCUUCCUUAUCUAAUUAUCAAAUUAAAUGUCAAACUUAAAAAUGGUACUAAAUGUGAUCACCACAAAAAUAAAACACUUUUAUAGUUGAAACAUUAAAUUUUUUUUUUUGGGUUUUUUGGAAUUGGCGAUCAUCAAGCCGGGAUGGGAUGAGGAUUUAAAAUUCAACAUCUAUUUUGUGCUUAGUGCACGUAACGCCUUACCAACUGUGCUAACUCUUACAACAAAAGAUAUCCCUUUCUCCUUGGGUAUACUAUUCUACAAACCGUAAACUAUAAUGAAACGUACUGAGGCAAUUCACAUCGGUUGGGCUUCCAUUUGAACUUGAGAUAGAGUUGAUCAGGGCGGCCAUUUCCCUGGCAAUCAAAUGGCUUCUCGAUGAAUGGACAAGAAGACGCAUUGUAAAGGGGAUAUGUGUCAUCGUAGCUCCAACUUCCUUGGAAGAUAUCGCAGCCGCUGCUAAUUGAUUCUGAUGAUCUCUUAGAGUUAUGAGAAAGCUCUAGCAACAAGGCAUUGGAUGAUUGUUGAACAAAUAUGACAAAAAGACAUAUAAUUAGAAGAAAAGUAUUCACAGAACGAAAUUGACCACUUCCCAUCUUGUGAGAAGAAAAGGAGUGAGAUGAGGUGAGGGAACUUAAGGGAGAAUGCAGCAUGAUGAAGCUUUUAAUGAAGAAAACAAAGGCCAUAUAAGAUGAGUUUGAUAGGCUGUUAGUUGGUGCCUGGUGGUGUUUGAGUUGUUAGAUUGAAUGGCUUGGGGAGGGGAAAUCUGCAAUUUUUUUUUUUUUUUAUUGGUUUGGGGUUGAUUCCCCAGCCUGUUUUGCUCCUUUUGGCAGCUGAACUUAUUGGUGGGAGCUGUGUCCUUGCAGUGGAGUAUACUCCUUUUUAUCCAUCAUUCCUCCUCCAUGAUUGUUUCAGUUUCAAAUCUAGUCUUCUACGGAAAGCCUUCUUUCCUCUAUUUCCGGUUUGCUUGCUCAAAGAAACAAGGGAGGCCCAAAGCUUGUUGAAACAAUGGCAACAACAUCGCUAAGAUAAAAAACAGAUGACAAUUAAUAUCGGUUUCGUCUGGAAGGUAACGGGUUCGAAACCUUAAAGUUGUGAAGUUAAUGUUAUAUUCCUGUUCUGUUUCUUCAUUAUUCAGUUUAAAGCUAGUUAAUUUGACACCACAUUUAUUGUUUCUGUAGUUCUUUUACAUACUUUUGUUUGAUCAUAAUUUUGCCUGUUACAUUAGCCAGAAGUUUGACUGUUACACUUUAACAUGAAAAUGGGGUCCCAUAUUUCUCCUAAUUACGAAGGCAUAUAAUAUGCUGUUUGUGGUUUGACCCGUAAUGAAACCCCCGGUGUUGAAUAAUAUUCAUGGAGGGGGGAAAAAUGGCAGAAGUAGCUAGGAAACGACUAACUACACCGUUUGGAUUGCUGUUUUAUGGAGUUUUUAUAGAAAAAUAUACUAUAAUGAUUUGCUGUAUGUGAGGUAAAAAAAUGAAUUUACGAAAAUUUUUUUGAGAAAAAUAACAAUCCAAACCAAAAAAAGGGAUAUUUGACUAUCUAAAUAAAAAAAAUGUACCGUAAUGAAUUGAUAUAUGAACAUCCGAUCACCAAAAAAAAAAGGAGAUAUCUACUAAAAUUUGCAAAAGACAAAUAUGAUGCUAAUCUUUUGUCAAGUCAUACCCACCGAGCAUUAUUGCAGUAACUUUCACUGGUCCCAUGCAUACGUAGACUACAUAAUGUAACAUCUAAGUAAGGAAGAAAACAAAUUAUCCAAAUGUGACUCAAUCAAUUCAACUAAAAAACUAGUUCUACUUCUCCAUGAAAUAUACUGUAUGUUUGCAUAGAAUAGCAACAUUACAUAGACGUUCUUGCAUGAUCAUGUUCAAUCAAACUUGUAUUUCUACUAUUAAUUUUUAGUCCAAAUUUAUUGUAGUAAGAAUGAUAUGAUAUCAAAAUGGCUAAUGGCUACUGAAGUAAUCAAAGAAUAAGAAGAUUGUAGAGUAGCAGAUUCCAGGUAUCAGGAACUCCAGGAAGACACCAGUGGCUGCAGUCCAUUCCCCCAGUGGCUGCGCCAAGCCCAUAAAUAGAAGGAUGUCCAUCUUUUCGCAGCAGCGAAAGGUUUGUAAUAUCCAGCAAUUUCACUGGCUUCUUUAUUGUGUUGAGUACUCUCUUUAGCACUGUUAGAGCUGGUGGUAGUCCUGCUGGAUAUCUUGAGCCCACCAC
rnacentral:lncRNA from 1 species